rnacentral:rRNA from 2 species
UAGGGAAUCUUCCACAAUGGGCGCAAGCCUGAUGGAGCAACGCCGCGUGAGUGAUGAAGGCCUUCGGGUUGUAAAACUCUGUCUUCUGUGACGAACAAGCCUGUGAGUGGAAAACUCAGGCCCUGACGGUAACAGAGGAGGAAGCCACGGCUAACUACGUGCCAGCAGCCGCGGUAAUACGUAGGUGGCAAGCGUUGUCCGGAAUCACUGGGCGUAAAGCGCGCGCAGGCGGCGAUCUACGUCUGGGGUGAAAGCCCGGAGCUCAACUCCGGGACUGCCUUGGAUACGGGAUCGCUUGAGGAUUGGAGAGGCAAGGGGAAUUCCACGUGUAGCGGUGAAAUGCGUAGAUAUGUGGAGGAACACCUGUGGCGAAGGCGCCUUGCUGGCCAAUUUCUGACGCUGAGGCGCGAAAGCGUGGGGAGCAAACA